rnacentral:ncRNA from 1 species
AUCAAGGGAGUAGCUGACGGAAGUAUCCGUUACAAGGUCGUCAAUCCGAAAGAAAUUUCCGGCCUUGUAUGAAAUAGCGAGACUUGUUUGAAUAAAACAAGUCUCUUUUU